rnacentral:rRNA from 1 species
UAGAGUUUGAUCAUGGCUCAGAACGAACGCUGGCGGCAGGCCUAACACAUGCAAGUCGAACGCCCGUAGCAAUACGGGAGUGGCAGACGGGUGAGUAACGCGUGGGAACGUACCUUUCGGUUCGGAAUAACCCGGGGAAACUCGGGCUAAUACCGGAUACGUCCGCAAGGAGAAAGAUUUAUCGCCGAAAGAUCGGCCCGCGUCGGAUUAGCUAGUUGGUGGGGUAAUGGCCCACCAAGGCGACGAUCAGUAGCUGGUCUGAGAGGAUGAUCAGCCUCACUGGGACUGAGACACGGCCCAGACUCCUACGGGAGGCAGCAGUGGGGAAUAUUGGACAAUGGGCGCAAGCCUGAUCCAGCCAUGCCGCGUGGAUGAUGAAGGCCCUAGGGUUGUAAAGUCCUUUCGGCGGGGAAGAUAAUGACGGUACCCGCWGAAGAAGCCCCGGCUAACUUCGUGCCWGCCGCCGCGGUAAUUC